GACGAACGCUGGCGGCGUGCUUAACACAUGCAAGUCGAACGGAAAGACCCUGCUUCUGUGGGGUGCUCGCGUGGCGAACGGAUGGGUAACAAAUGAGUAACCUACCCAUGCCUUUGGGAUAACUACCGAAAAGUGAGGAUAACACCUACUGGGUGCUCCUGCUAGUUGCAGGGGUUGGGAAGGUAUCGGCGCUUGGGGUUGGACUGGAGGCUGAUCAGCUGGUGGGUGGGGUAGUGGCUGACCAAGCGUCUGACGGGUGGCCGGCCUGAGAGGGGGCCCGGCCACAUUGGGACUGAGAUACGGCGCAGAAGCCUACGUGAGGCAGCAGUGGGGAAUAUUGCAGAAUGGGCGGGAGUGUGAUGCAGCAACGCCGCGUGCGGGAUGAAGGCCUUCGGGUUGUAAACCGCUUUCGCCUGUGACGAAGCGUGAGUGACGGUAAUGGGUAAAGAAGCACCGGCUAACUACGUG
rnacentral:rRNA from 1 species